AAAGAAGAAAUGAUAAUGAUAGUCACAGCCUGGAGUAGCUUUGAUUACUGUGCCAAAAUCUGAAGAGCCUAGAAUAUUUAUUAGCAUGCAAGAAUCAGUACAAAAUAAAACAAAUAAUUUGUAUUUCUGGAAUAAAAAACAAAUUUAUAGACUUGUACUUCAGAUUAUGAGGGACUGGGGAAUUCUGAUCAAUCCUAUGCCUGAGGACUAGAAAAGAUGGACAAAACCAUUUAAAAAUCGUUUCUAUUUAACCGCUGCACUGGGUUUAAAAUAUGUCCGUAAGUUCAUGAUACUCCUCUUUUCAAGAGGUAGAACCUAAUUUCCCCUCCUCGGUGUGUGGGUCAGACUUCACGACUUACUUCUAAUGACCAGAAUAAAGUGGAAAUGACAGUAAGCAUCUGGAUCAUUAAAGAGAUUGAUGUUUCCUACUUGCUUUCAUUAUAGGAUUACUCACUCUGGGAAAAGCCAAACUACCACAUUAUGAGGACACUCAAGCAUCCCUCUGAAGAGGUCUACAAGGUGAAGAAACUUAGGCCUCCUGACAACAGCCAGCACUAUCUUGCCAGGUGUGAGUGCACCGUCUCAGAAGCGGAUCCUCCAGCCCCAGUCAAGCUUGCAGAUGCCUGCAGCCCCAGCUGACAGCCUUACUGCAACCUCUGGAGUGACCCUGAGCCAGAACCACCCAGCUAUGCCACGACUGCAUCCUGACUCGCAAAAACUAUGUGAAGACUGCCGUCUCAAUUGUAGGAUCUGGCUUCUGCUGACCGACCGGCUAGGCUAUACUUGCCUCUGUCCACGCACUUCUCACGUAUGAUCUCUUUGCAUCUUCACAACAGCCCAAAGAGGAUAAGCUGAGGCCACAGAGGGGUUGUGGCCGACACAAGUGACAGAGCCGAUCAGGAGCAGAAGUGGAACCAGAGCCCAAGACUCCAACUUCCCAGCAGCUUUGACCCUGGCCCUACACUCAGGUGACCCUCAGCACCUGGAGACGUGGUGGGCAUGGAUUCUGGAUUGUGGCCGGGGCUCUGACCCAGCUGUGACUCCACAGCCACCCUUGGCUCCACACAGCCCACACUGCCCUGCGCACAGAAAGGAGACAGCUGCCAUUUUCUGAGCAAGGCUCAUCAGCCCUGAGUCCUGACUAGGUUCUUUGUGAAGUGGGGACAGCGCCUCCCUCAUAGGAGUAUGGUGAGGACUCGUGAAAAGCACCUAACACAGAGGAAGUUCUCAAGAAGUGGGGGCUGCUUUAUUGUUGUUGCUGCUCUUUUAUUAUUAAUGGCAAGUUGCCUGGCAACCAAGGGAGGCAGGUGUCAGUCAUUUAUGCCUGUUCUACAGAAGAGGAAGUGAGCUUACAAUGUCCCACAGCCAGCGAGUGGUGGAGCUGGAGAUUCUGGGACUCCAUGCUUGCCGCCCAGCUGGGAGAUGAAUGGGGGGCAGCUAUUACCAUACCUCCCUCUGUCGGUACAAUUAUGAUCCCAUCUUACACACGAGAAGUCAGUUUGAGAGAAGUUAAGUGUCAUACAGCUGGUGUGGAGCUUUGAUAAGAGUUCCUGUCUGUGUGACUUCAGAGCCUGUGUACUUAACUAUUAUUUUGCCCUCAACCAUUGCCCUCUGCUGCAGGAGUGUGUAAGUAAUCAAUGUAGGCUUUCUGUCAUUAGGGUGUGUGUGCAUGGUCAUUGGACUCCAUACCUGUUCCCUGCACUCUGCUUAGUCCAUUCUAGAGUGUGGUUUGAGUAAAAAUGUUUAGAACUUACAUUUGGUCACUUUUUUAUUGUAAAACAUACAUAACAAAAAUU